rnacentral:rRNA from 1 species
UACGUAGGUGGCGAGCGUUGUCCGGAUUUAUUGGGCGUAAAGCGCGCGCAGGCGGUUGUCUAAGUCUGCUGUGAAAUCUCCCGGCUCAACUGGGAGGGGGCGGCGGAGACUGGGCGACUGGAGGGACCUAGAGGCCGGUGGAAUUCCCGGUGUAGUGGUGAAGUGCGUAGAGAUCGGGAGGAACACCUGUGGCGAAGGCGGCCGGCUGGGGGUACCCUGACGCUGAGGCGCGACAGCGUGGGGAGCGAACCGG